rnacentral:rRNA from 1 species
UACAGAGGGGGCAAGCGUUGUUCGGAAUUACUGGGCGUAAAGGGCGCGUAGGCGGCCCGCUAAGUCGAACGUGAAAUCCCCGAGCUCAACUCGGGAACUGCGUCCGAUACUGGCGGGCUUGAAUCCGGGAGAGGGAUGCGGAAUUCCAGGUGUGAGCGGUGAAAUGCGUAGAUAUCUGGAGGAACACCGGUGGCGAAGGCGGCAUCCUGGACCGGCAUUGACGCUGAGGCGCGAAAGCUAGGGGAGCAAACGGG